GAUGAAGAACGUAGUAAAAUGCGAUAAGUAAUGUGAAUUGCAGAAUUCAGUGAAUCAUCGAAUCUUUGAACGCACAUUGCGCCCGCCAGUAUUCUGGCGGGCAUGCCUGUUCGAGCGUCAUUUCAACCCUCAAGCACAGCUUGGUGUUGGGACUCGCGUUAAUUCGCGUUCCUCGAAUUGAUUGGCGGUCACGUCGAGCUUCCAUAGCGUAGUAGUAAAACCCUCGUUACUGGUAAUCGUCGCGGCCACGCCGUUAAACCCCAACUUCUGAAUGUUGACCUCGGAUCAGGUAGGAAUACCCGCUGAACUUAAGCAUAUCAAUAAGCGGAGGA
rnacentral:misc_RNA from 1 species